CGCGUCACCACUCACCACCACCACCCGUCCCUCCCACGCGUCGCCCCUGCCUCCCGCACGCCGCGGCGCCAUCCUCCAACCCCAACACGCCGCUGCACCACCCCUCCCACCCUAGCGCGCCACCGCGCUGCCACCCCCAUCUGAAGGCGCCACCGCGUCCACAUCUCCGAAACUCGCGCACUUUUACCGCCGGGCCACGAACUGGGCACCUCCCUCUUCACUGUGCCGGCGUCGCCUUCGCCAAUGCACGCCGGCAGCCUGCCUUCCCCGCACCGGCGGCCUCCCUCCCAACGCGUGCCGACAGCCUUCCUUCCCCGCGCCGGCGGCCUCCCUCCCAUCGCAUGCCAACGGCCACCCUUCCCAGCACCGGCGGCGUCCCUCCCAAAGCACGCCGGCACCUCCGUUCCCCGUGCCGACGGGGGGCAGCUUCCCUCCGAACGCGUGGCGCAUUUUCCUCCAAUGGAUGUGCACAACUCGUGGAGCUACCUCCUGGUCAGCUGGUUCCCGUCGGCCUCCUCGCACCGGACAAAUCCUCCAGCGGGACCUCGGAAGGCCUGACGCACUCCCUCGAACUAUCGCGCGUCCUCCCUCGAACGGCCGGACUCGUUUACCUCCUCCAAUAUGCGCAGGUUGCUGCUCUCGUCUGCUUCCUCUUUCUUUUUUGAAAUGAGUCUGCUUUCUCUCUCACGAGCAUGAUGCUACUGCUCCUCUCAACUCUCAAUUCUCAUUAUUUACUGUUUCUCCCCUAUAUGAACUACUGAUGCUACUUCAUCUCUACUUGUUGUGAAAUAAGAUUUUGAUUUCAGAGAAGUCGCAAAUCACAAAGGAAAGAAGAGCCAUGUUUUCUAUUGUUGUUAUUUUGUUGCCCUCGUGGUGUUUACUGAAAUGCCUACAACAACUUAAGGUGUUCUCUUUUUUUAAAAUGAAGUGAAUGUGUUGUACUACUGUUAAGCGCGGUCCUCCUCCCGAGCUCCUCCAUGUGCAUCCGCCUCCCAAGCUGUGCCAUGAGCGGUUGCGCCUACUCCGUCGUCCAGGCGACCAUCAUGCGUGCCUCCUGACCCCUGCUGUCAGGUUGCGGCCUCUUUCGCUGUCAGGUCACAUCCUCUCCUGCCGUCAGAUCGCAACCUCUUCCUUUUGCACGUCGCCACCUCCUGCUGCUGCAGGCCGUGCCCCAUCCCCCAUUCUCGCGUGGUCGCCAACAAGGAGGUGACCGAUUGUUGAUCCUGAAGUUUCAUCACAUGAUUUUUUGUCUCUGAAUUUUGCACCAAUUCUUGAUCCUGAAGCAUCAAUGCUUGAGCACUGAUUUUUGUGUGUUAGUUCAAAUUUUGCGUCAAGCAGUUCGACAAGGGUGCGUCCCUCAGUACUACGAUGACGAGGCAGACAGCCGCCCUCUUUGUGACCUGCUGCUAUUCCCCAUCUUGCACUGGCGAACUAAUGAUGCGGGAGCUGCCCUGUUUGCUACAACCCCACGUGGAUCUCUCUCUUUCUCCUCUCUUAAAUUCAUUGGAAAAGUUGGUUUCUUGUUCUUGUUGUGUCGUGAAUACCCUCAAGUUGUUUGAUAUUAUUCCUAUGAGAAAACUGAUCCAUAGCAGAUUUUGUUCCAGAGCUGUUCAAAGUUCAGACUUACGUUUUGUGAAGGCAAGGACAAGGAGAAGCCUAUGGAUAACAGUUCGUGUGGAGCUUGGCCAGUUCCUCUGUUCAUGUGUGAGCUUGCUCAGUUUGUCCAUUUAUCUCUGUUCAGUUCAUGUAGAGGAUCCCUCGAAUUCACCUCCUCUCGUUCUUUAUCACAAAUGAUUUUCGCUAUCCGCAGCAAAUUACAGUAUGAGAGUGGGAGUUUUAUAUUGUACUCUCUGCCUGCACAAUGCAUUUUGUAGUGUUGGUAGUUGUAGAGAUUUGUUUGUGUUAAAAAUGGUUUUAUGUAUUUUGUAGUGUCGGUACUUAAGUAGAACAUUAGUUCAAAUCUUCAAAUUUUAUAUAGUUCAAGUACAUAAGGAACAUAAGGAACUUUAGUUAGUUUCUUGAAUUUCGACUCCUUUAGUUUUUGUUCUUAACCAGUUUUUGUUCAAUUAUAUAAGGACUGACGCCAUUAGUUUCAAAAAGGAGCUUCUGUAGAUGUGGAGAUUGGUAAAAUCUAAAGUUCAACUAUUCUGAUGGGGCACUUCAUAAAGCAAAGAAAAAAGAAAGCAGAGCAAAAGUGAAGAAAAAUAAAAAGAAAAUCAAAGUGGUCCUGAGAAGAAAAUGCCUACUGUCUAGUAAUACAUUCUCUCAUUUGUCUAUGUUUAUUUGUUGUGAGAAUAAAAAACAGUGGUACCAUACAUAUUACUUGAGCUGUUCAUAUAAAAAAAUGCGUCGGUUUGUGUAACAUCAGUUCUAACUUCUAUAGCUUGAUAAAUGAUUAGAAGUCAAUCUGAAUUCAUUUUGAUCCAUUCUCUUGUGAUUUUUGGCUGAACUCCAAUACUUGCAUCCGCCACCCCAACGCCGGCGUGUUCCCUCAGUCCUCUCUCGACAAAUCCAACAGUACAGGUUCUCCGGUGUGCCAAGUAUUACCUGCGGCGAUCCCUACAUCAUGGCCCAUUGAGGAGAUCUUGUGUAUUCCACAUAGAAGAAAUAUUGUCAGUUCAUGAAUAGAGAAUUUCUGUACCAGACUUAAUAUUAGUUCAGUGCGUAUUCUAUCUUCAGUCCACGAAAAAUCACAGAAUAGUUGGUGUGUGUGCACAAAUAUUGUCAGUGCAAGUUUCAAAAUUCUGUAACUUUAGAUAUAUCACCUGAAAAAGUAAUGAUUUGCAGCGAGUUUCUUCAAAAUUAUGUAAAGUUUAGUAUUAUAGUGUGUGUUUUGAACUAAGAUCUAUACUCUAUGAACUUUUUGUACUUUCUGGACUUGAAGCAUUUUUUUCUCAUAUAUUAAAUCAAGUGCAUAUAUGAAAUCUUGAACGAAAUGCUCUAUGGACUCUUGGACUGUAUUGUUGGAGAACUGUUGUUCGGUACCUAAUGUAAUUUGCACAUAAAGCAUUUUGUUCUCAGUUUUUGGGUGAAAAGUUUGCUUCCUAUAUUGCAUAGCUGCUGCAGUGACCAUAGGAAUUUAUUAGAAUAAUUUAAUGUUUUUGUAUCUCACCUCUAAUUUGUUUCUUUCUACUGCUCUUUCCUCUAACAAUUUUGUUUCUGUCUAUACUACAGCACGAGGGAGUCUUGGACGGACGCUGAUCACUAGCCCACUACGACGACGCUGAUCACUAGCACGAAGGACACUAGCAGGUUGAGGAUGAAGUACAUGACGUAGGCAAUGAGGAUGACCAAAACAUGGAAUCCGUACACAAAGCAGCAACUGCAAGUUUAAAUUUUCUGUCUAUGGUGAUUUGAUUGCUACUUCUUAAAGAAAAGUGUAAUGACAGUUAGAUGUUUGUGCAAGAAAGGAAAAAUUGUUUGAACUAAAAACAUUCGAUAGUGCUCUCUCUCC